rnacentral:rRNA from 1 species
GAAGAACGCUGGCGGCGUGCUUAACACAUGCACGUCGCACGAGCGGCGGACGGGUGAGUCAUGUAUGGGGACUGCCCGCUAGAGGGGGAUAACUACUGGACCAGGUGGCUAAUACCGCAUACUGCCGGAUACCCCAUAUGGGAUUUGCUCGUAGGUAUGGGAAUGGCUUACCUAUGCGUCGACACCUAGCUGGUCUGUGAGGAUGAGCAGCCACACUGGAACUGAGACACGGCCCAGACUCCUACGGAGGCAGCAGUGGGGAAUAUUGCACAAUGGGCGCAAGCCUGAUGCAGCCAUGCCGCGUGUAUGAAGAAGGCCCUAGGGUUGUAAAGUACUUUCAGUCGGGAGGCGUUACCGACAGAAGAAGCACCGGCUAACUCCGUGCCAGCAGCCGCGGUAAUUC